CGUAGGUGGCAAGCGUUGUCCGGAUUUACUGGGCGUAAAGAGCGCGCAGGCGGUCGUCCAAGUCGCGUGUGAAAGCCCCCGGCUCAACUGGGGAGGGUCACGCGAUACUGGUCGACUCGAAGGCAGGAGAGGGUAGUGGAAUUCCCGGUGUAGUGGUGAAAUGCGUAGAUAUCGGGAGGAACGACCAGUGGCGAAGGCGACUACCUGGCCUGUUUCUUGACGCUGAGGCGCGAAAGCUAGGGGAGCAAACGGG
rnacentral:rRNA from 1 species